rnacentral:lncRNA from 1 species
GCAAAACAUAAAACAAAUUUAAGCCUGAGGCUUAUCCCACUUGAGGGGCUUGACAACCUCCCAGGUGAAGUCUGGGUCAUCCCUUCCGAAAUGCCCAUAGGCCGCGGUCUUCAAGAACCUACCAUUGCCUCCUCUUUUCAGAUCAAGAUUGAUGGAGAUCAUUCCGGGCCUGAAGUCGAAGGUUUCCUUUACGAUCUUUAGGAUUUCCCUGUCGGGGAUUUUUCCAGUUCCAUAGGUGUCGACGAAGACUGACAGAGGCUCUGGAACACCAAUAGCAUAAGAUACCUGCACAAUGCACCUACGAGCAAGUCCAUUGGCUACAAUGCUCUUGGCAGCUUGCCUGACAAUAUAUGCACCACUUCUGUCCACCUUUGUGGGGUCCUUUCCGGAGAAAGCACCACCACCGUGAGCUCCCCAGCCACCAUAAGUGUCGAUAAUGAUCUUGCGACCUGUUAGACCAGCAUCACCAUGGGGGCCUCCAAUUACAAAGCGGCCUGAAGGGUUGAGGUGAAAGAUGGUCUUCUCAUCAAGAUACUUCUCUGGGAUGACGGGCUUGAUUACAUGCUCUUUGAGGUCAGCAGCAAUCUCAUCGUUGGUAACAGUCUCGUCGUGCUGGGUGGAAAUGAGGACAGUGUGAACACGGGUUGGAACCAUGGCACCAUUCUCAUUUAGGUACUCAACAGUGACCUGGGUCUUGCCAUCAGGUCUCAACCACGCGCAUGUACCAUUCUUGCGGACAUCAGUAAGGCGAGCGCCAAGUUUGGUUGCAAGAACAUGGCUCAGAGGCAUAAGCUCAGGGGUCUCGUCAGUGGCAUAGCCAAACAUAUGGCCCUGGUCACCUGCGCCAAUAUCCUCCGGGCGCUUAGUAAGAUGACCAUGGACACCCUGGGCAAUAUCAGGGCUCUGUU